rnacentral:rRNA from 1 species
AUUGAACGCUGGCGGCAGGCUUAACACAUGCAAGUCGAACGGUAGCAGGAGAAAGCUUGCUUUCUUGCUGACGAGUGGCGGACGGGUGAGUAAUACUUGGGAAUCUGGCUUAUGGAGGGGGAUAACUACGGGAAACUGUAGCUAAUACCGCGUAGAAUCGGAAGAUGAAAGUGCGGGACCGCAAGGCCGCAUGCCAUGAGAUGAGCCCAAGUGGGAUUAGGUAGUUGGUGGGGUAAAGGCCUACCAAGCCUGCGAUCUCUAGCUGGUCUGAGAGGAUGGCCAGCCACACUGGAACUGAGACACGGUCCAGACUCCUACGGGAGGCAGCAGUGGGGGAUAUUGCGCAAUGGGGGGAACCCUGACGCAGCCAUGCCGCGUGAAUGAAGAAGGCCUUCGGGUUGUAAAGUUCUUUCGGUAUUGAGGAAGGAGUGUAUGUUAAUAGCAUACAUUAUUGACGUUAAAUACAGAAGAAGCACCGGCUAACUCCGUGCCAGCAGCCGCGGUAAUACGGAGGGUGCGAGCGUUAAUCGGAAUAACUGGGCGUAAAGGGCACGCAGGCGGUUAUUUAAGUGAGGUGUGAAAGCCCCGGGCUUAACCUGGGAAUUGCAUUUUCANACUNGGGUAACUAGAGUACUUUUAGGGAGGGGUAGAAUUCCACGUGUAGCGGUGAAAUGCGUAUAGAUGUGGAGGAANNCCGAAGGNCGAANGCNGCCCCUNGNNAAUGUACUGACGCUCANGUGCGAAAGCGNGGGGNNNNAANNNNNAUUANANUACCCUAGU